rnacentral:rRNA from 1 species
GACGAACGCUGGCGGCGUGCCUAAUACAUGCAAGUCGAACGCAGUGGGGACGGGUGAGUAACACGUGGGUAACCUCCCAUCAGAGGGGAUAACACUUGGAAACAGGUGCUAAACCGAUACUGAUGGAUGGACCCGCGGUGCAUUAGCUAGUUGGUGAGGUAACGGCUCACCAAGGCCACGAUGCAUAGGCUACUUGAGAGGGUUAUCGGCCACACUGAGAUGGAGAAACGGACCAGAUGCCUACGCGAGGCAGCGGUGGGGAAUCUUCGGGAGUGGAGGGAAGCCUGAGCGGCAAACGUGGCGUGAGUGAAGAAGGUUUUCGGGUCGUAAAUUGCUGUGGUUAGAGAGGUGGUAUCUACCCAGAAAGGCACGGCUAACUACGUGCCAGCAGCCGCGGUAAUUC